rnacentral:rRNA from 1 species
AUAUUCAAUAAUGGGCGAAAGCCUGAUCCAGCCAUGCCGCGUGUGUGAAGAAGGUCCACGGAUAGUACCGCACUUUAAGUUGGGAGGAAGGGUUGUAGAUUAAUACUCUGCAAUUUUGACGUUACCAACAGAAGAAGCCCGGGCUAACUUCGUGCCAGCAGCCGCGGUAAUACGAAGGGUGCAAGUGUUAAGCGGAAUUACUGGGCGUAAAGCGCGCGUAGGUGGUUUGUUAAGUUGGAAGUGAAAGCCCGGGGAUCAACCUGGGAACUGCUUUCAAAACUGGCAAGCUAGAGUACAGUAGAGGGUAGUGGAAUUUCCUGUGUAGCGGUGAAAUGAGUAGAUAUGAGAAGCAACGCCAGUGGCGAAGGCGACUACCUGGCCUGAUACUGACACUGAGGUGCGAAGGCGUGGGAAGAAAAC